rnacentral:rRNA from 1 species
UGAACGCUGGCUGCAUGCUUAACACAUGCAAGUCGAACGGCAGCACGGGAGCUUGCUCCUGGUGGCGAGUGGCGGACGGGUGAGUAAUGCAUAGGAAUCUGCCUAGUAGUGGGGGACAACCUGGUGAAAACCAGGCUAAUACCGCAUACGACCUACGGGUGAAAGCAGGGGAUCUUCGGACCUUGCGCUAUUAGAUGAGCCUAUGUCUGAUUAGCUAGUUGGUAAGGUAAUGGCUUACCAAGGCUGCGAUCAGUAGCUGGUCUGAGAGGAUGAUCAGCCACACUGGGACUGAGACACGGCCCAGACUCCUACGGGAGGCAGCAGUGGGGAAUAUUGGACAAUGGGCGAAAGCCUGAUCCAGCAAUGCAGCGUGUGUGAAGAAGGCCUGCGGGUUGUAAAGCACUUUCAGUUGGGAGGAAAAGCUGAAGCUUAAUACGCUUUAGUGUUGACGUUACCAACAGAAGAAGCACCGGCUAACUCC